CACUAUGACAUGUGAGUUUGAUCCUGGCUCAGAUUGAACGCUGGCGGCAGGCCUAACACAUGCAAGUCGAACGGUAGCACAGAGAGCUUGCUCUUGGGUGACGAGUGGCGGACGGGUGAGUAAUGUCUGGGAAACUGCCUGAUGGAGGGGGAUAACUACUGGAAACGGUAGCUAAUACCGCAUAACGUCGCAAGACCAAAGAGGGGGACCUUCGGGCCUCUUGCCAUCAGAUGUGCCCAGAUGGGAUUAGCUAGUAGGUGGGGUAACGGCUCACCUAGGCGACGAUCCCUAGCUGGUCUGAGAGGAUGACCAGCCACACUGGAACUGAGACACGGUCCAGACUCCUACGGGAGGCAGCAGUGGGGAGUAUUGCACAAUGGGCGCAAGCCUGAUGCAGCCAUGCCGCGUGUAUGAAGAAGACCUUCGGGUUGUAAAGUACUUUCAGCGGGGAGGAAGGUGUUGAGGUUAAUAACCUCAGCAAUUGACGUUACCCGCAGAAGAAGCACCGGCUAACUCCGUGCCAGCAGCCGCGGUAAUACGGAGGGUGCAAGCGUUAAUCGGAAUUACUGGGCGUAAAGCGCACGCAGGCGGUCUGUCAAGUCGGAUGUGAAAUCCCCGGGCUCAACCUAGGAACUGCAUUCGAAACUGGCAGGCUGGAGUCUUGUAGAGGGGGGUAGAAUUCCAGGUGUAGCGGUGAAAUGCGUAGAGAUCUGGAGAAAUACCGGUGGCGAAGGCGGCCCCCUGGACAAAGACUGACGCUCAGGUGCGAAAGCGUGGGGAGCAAACAGGAUUAGAUACCCUGGUAGUCCACGCUGUAAACGAUGUCGACUUGGAGGUUUGUUCCCUUGAGGAGUGGCUUCCGGAGCUAACGCGUUUAAGUCGACCGGCCUGGGGGAGUACGGCCGCAAGGUUUAGAACUCAAAUGAAUUGACCGGGGGGCCCGCACAAGCGUUGG
rnacentral:rRNA from 1 species